rnacentral:tRNA from 1 species
GGGCCUGUAGCUCAGUUGGUUAGAGCUGGAAACUCAUAAUUUCUAGGUCGUCGGUUCGAGUCCGGCCGGGCCCACCA